UGAGGACUCUUCGGUGUCAUGGU
rnacentral:piRNA from 1 species